rnacentral:rRNA from 1 species
CGAACGUUGGCGGCGUGGAUUAGGCAUGCAAGUCGGGGGAAUCCCGCAAGGGGGAACCGGCGUAAGGGGCAGUAAGGCAUGGGUACCUACCCUGGGGUUCGGGAUAGCCGUCUGAGAAGGCGGGUAAUACCGGAUGAUCUCGGGAGAGCAAAGAUUAAUCGCCCUGGGAGGGGCCCAUGUGAUAUUAGCUAGUUGGUGAGGUAACGGCUCACCAAGGCGGAGAUGUCUAGCGGGUGUGAGAGCACGACCCGCGCCACUGGCACUGAGACACUGGCCAGACACCUACGGGUGGCUGCAGUCGAGGAUCUUCGGCAAUGGGCGCAAGCCUGACCGAGCGACGCCGCGUGUGCGACGAAGGCCUUCGGGUUGUAAAGCACUGUCGAGGGGGAGAAAAGCCCGCAAGGGUGUGAUCUAUCCCUGGAGGAAGCACGGGCUAAGUUCGUGCCAGCAGCCGCGGUAAGACGAACCGUGCGAACGUUGUUCGGAAUCACUGGGCUUAAAGGGCGCGUAGGCGGGCUGCCGCGUCCGGGGUGAAAUCCUCCCGCUCAACGGGAGAACGGCCUCGGAUACGGGCGGCCUCGAGGGGGGUAGGGGCAUCUGGAACUGUGAGUGGAGCGGUGAAAUGCGUUGAUAUUCACAGGAACUCCGGUGGCGAAGGCGAGGUGCUGGACCCCAACUGACGCUCAG